rnacentral:rRNA from 1 species
UACAGAGGGUGCGAGCGUUGUCCGGAAUCACUGGGCGUAAAGGGCGCGUAGGCGGCUCGGUAAGGUUGCGGUGAAAGCCCGGGGCUCAACCCCGGGUCGGCCGUGGCAACUGCUGAGCUGGAGCACUGUAGAGGCAGGUGGAAUUCCGGGUGUAGCGGUGGAAUGCGUAGAGAUCCGGAAGAACACCGGUGGCGAAGGCGGCCUGCUGGGCAGUGGCUGACGCUGAGGCGCGACAACGUGGGGAGCAAACAGG